rnacentral:rRNA from 1 species
UACGUAGGGUCCGAGCGUUGUCCGGAAUUACUGGGCGUAAAGAGCUCGUAGGUGGUUUGUCGCGUUGUUCGUGAAAACUCACAGCUCAACUGUGGGCGUGCGGGCGAUACGGGCAGACUUGAGUACUGCAGGGGAGACUGGAAUUCCUGGUGUAGCGGUGGAAUGCGCAGAUAUCAGGAGGAACACCGGUGGCGAAGGCGGGUCUCUGGGCAGUAACUGACGCUGAGACGCGAAAGCGUGGGGAGCGAACAGG